rnacentral:rRNA from 1 species
UGGGGAAUAUUGCACAAUGGAGGAAACUCUGAUGCAGCGACGCCGCGUGGGUGAUGAAGGCCUUCGGGUUGUAAAGCCCUGUCGGCUGGGAACAAGUUAGACGUGCUCAUACCACGUUUGAUUGAGUGUACCAGCAAAGGAAGCACCGGCUAACCCUGUGCCAGCAGCCGCGGUAAUACAGGGGGUGCUAGCGUUGUUCGGAAUUACUGGGCGUAAAGGGCGCGUAGGCGGCUAUACAAGUCAGGAGUGAAAUCCCGGAGCUUAACUUCGGAAUUGCUUUUGAAACUGUAUGGCUAGAGUAUGUUAGAGGAAAUCGGAAUUCCUAGUGUAGAAGUGAAAUUCGUAGAUAUUAGGAAGAACACCGGUGGCGAAGGCGGAUUUCUGGGACAUUACUGACGCU